GUUUGAGUAGUUUAAUUAGAAUAAUAAUUUGUGGUGUUAUAGGUAUAUUUUGUAUCUCAAACC
rnacentral:tRNA from 1 species